GAUGAACGCUGGCGGCGUGCCUAAUACAUGCAAGUCGAGCGAACAGACGAGGAGCUUGCUCCUUCGACGUUAGCGGCGGACGGGUGAGUAACACGUAGGUAACCUACCUAUAAGACUGGGAUAACUUCGGGAAACCGGAGCUAAUACCGGAUAAUAUUUCGAACCGCAUGGUUCGAUAGUGAAAGAUGGCUUUGCUAUCACUUAUAGAUGGACCUGCGCCGUAUUAGCUAGUUGGUAAGGUAACGGCUUACCAAGGCAACGAUACGUAGCCGACCUGAGAGGGUGAUCGGCCACACUGGAACUGAGACACGGUCCAGACUCCUACGGGAGGCAGCAGUAGGGAAUCUUCCGCAAUGGGCGAAAGCCUGACGGAGCAACGCCGCGUGAGUGAUGAAGGUCUUCGGAUCGUAAAACUCUGUUAUUAGGGAAGAACAAACGUGUAAGUAACUGUGCACGUCUUGACGGUACCUAUUCAGAAAGCCACGGCUAACUACGUG
rnacentral:rRNA from 1 species